rnacentral:rRNA from 1 species
AUAUCAAUUUUGACGCCUCGGUUCAAAAGUGUGUGAUGCACCUCAGCCGCGUUUCCGAGAAGCGCAAUGGACAAAGGUUUUCCUGCCAGCUUUGCCUCUUCAGCCCAAGCUAAGGCUUCCUCAAUCGAUGCUGUUUUUCGAUCGCAGUAUUUUGUUUCGAUCCGCUUGUCGAUGCGUUUCUCGUCAACCUCGACGGCAAUCACGACGCCUUCAUUCAUCGUGACAGACAGCGGCUGGGCGCCUCCCAUUCCGCCGAGACCCGCUGUCAGCGUCAAUGUUCCUUUUAAGCUCCCUCCGAAGUGCUGUCGCGCCAGCUCAGCGAAGGUUUCAUAGGUUCCUUGCAAUAUGCCUUGUGAGCCAAUGUAAAUCCAGCUGCCAGCCGUCAUCUGUCCGUACAUCAUUAACCCUUUUUUCUCAAGUUCGUGGAAAUGCUCCCAGUCUGCCCACUUCGGAACAAGAACAGAAUUUGCUAGGAGCACGCGCGGGGCCUGCGGGUGUGUACGGAACAUGCCAACAGGCUUACCGGAUUGCACGAGCAAUGUUUCAUCAUUUUUUAAUGUUUUCAAGGAAUGCUCAAUGGCGUGAAAAGCGUCCCAAUCCCGUGCGGCUUUGCCGAUCCCGCCAUAUACGAUGAGGUCCUCCGGCUUCUCGGCGACUUCUGGAUCAAGGUUGUUUCGAAGCAUCCGAAGCACUGCCUCUUGCUCCCAUCCUAAGCAUUCAAGCUCUGUUCCUCUGUUGGCACGGAUUGAUUUUUUUACAUCAGUCAUAUGUUCAUCCCCCUUAGUUCUUUAUUCUGAUGGUCAGGUAUUAAAGAUUCUUUCUUCAGCCAGUCAGUCAAGCGUUCAAUGUCAUAGGAAAAAACACGAUCCUGCUGAAUGGACGGCACGACUUUUCUCAUUUCUUGAAAAAGCUGUUUCGUAUAGGACGCUGCAUGUUCUAUGCCUCUGUAUUCAACAGCCUGCAAUGCGCAAAUCGCUUCGAUCGCAAUGACUCUCCUUGUAUUUGCGAUCACCUGAUAAGCAUGCCGAGCGGCGAUGGUUCCCAUGCUGACAUGGUCCUCUUGGUUGGCGGAUGACGGAAUGGAAUCCACACUUGCAGGAUGGGCCAGUGUUUUAUUUUCAGAAACGAGUGAGGCCGCGGCGUACUGCAUGAUCAUUGCACCGGAUUGCAGACCGGGAUGAGGGCUCAGGAACGGCGGCAGGUCAUUCAGCUGCGGAUUCACAAGUCGUUCGAUCCUGCGCUCUGCGAUAUUCGCAAGCUCUGAUAUUGCGAUUUUCAGAAAAUCCAUGGCAAAGGCGAUCGGCUGUCCGUGAAAGUUUCCGCCGGAAAUCACUUUGUCACCGUCAUUGAAAAUGAGUGGAUUGUCUGUAGCAGCGUUCAUUUCAAUCUCUAAUUUUUCUUUGACAUAGCCUAGUGUCUGCCAAGUCGCACCGUGUACUUGCGGAAUACAGCGCAAUGAAUAGGCAUCCUGAACCCGCAGUUCUCCCUGAGAGGUUGUCAGACCGCUGUCAGACAGAUAGAAGCUAAUUCGUUCUGCGACAUCGAUCUGCUCCUGAUAGCCGCGGGCUGAGUGAAUAUCCUCGUCAAAUGCAUCGAUAAUUCCCCGCAAACCUUCAAUCGUUAAGCUGGCAAUGCGUUCUGUUUGAUAGGCUAGUUUCUCAGCUUCAAUGUAGGCGACCACUCCCAUUGCAGUCAUGGCCUGAGUCCCGUUAAUCAAGGCAAGCCCUUCCUUGGAUGUCAGCGUUACCGGCUGAAUACCGGCUUUUUUCAAGCCUGUCAUUGCCGGCAUUCUUUCCCCCUCAAAAAAGACCUCUCCUUGCCCGAUCAGCGCAAGCGCCAGGUGGGAAAGCGGCGCCAGAUCUCCGCUCGCGCCAAGUGAUCCCUGCUGGGGAAUGACAGGAUGGACGCGGUUAUUUAAAAAAGCAAGCAACUGUUCGAUCAGCUCAGCACGUACACCGGAAAAGCCUUUUAACAGCGCAUUGGCGCGCAAAAGCAGCAUUGCCCUGGAAACACACUCAGGAAAAGGGUCGCCGACUCCGCAGGCAUGAGAAAGGAUUAAAUUCAGCUGCAGCGCCGCGGAGUCUUCUUUUUGAAUCAGGACAUCGCUGAAUUUGCCAAAUCCGGUGUUGAUGCCGUAGAUUGUCUUUUCGUCGCGUACAAUCCGUUCCACUGCCGCUCUGCUUUUUUUCACGCGCUCCAUACUUUCCUCAGAAGCCGCUGCCUCCUCAAAAUCAAACAGCACACGAGCGACGUCGGCUGUUGUCAAUGAAGAACCGUCUAAAAUCACCAUAAGCCCAACUCCUUUUUCUUUACUUUGGUAAAGCGCCCAUACAAAAAGGAGCUAUGCUGUGAACAUCUGUUUUCACGCAUAGCCCCCUAUCGUCUAAGAUCUAUGGGCUGUUUCAUAUGUGAUUAAUUCCAACACCGAAUGUCUCGUGCUCAAGACCUUUAAUCGGCGCCCCGAUUGUUCCGUAAAGCGAGACAGCAAUCCAAUCGCCUUCCGCUUCACUUUCAUAAGGAUUUCCCCUCAAAACGGCAAACCUCAAGCCCACCGUCCGAAGCAGCGAUCCCAGCAGCAUUUCACCUCUGGUCACGCCAUGCAAAGCCUCCAUCGUCGCAUGAUAAAGCGCAUGUGACUCCCGAUAACCCUCAGAUUGAAUGACACCGCUCUUUUUGGAAGCGGUUUCAAUUGCGGCUACUACUUUAUGCGCGUCCAUUGAUCCUACUUUGCCAAGACAGACCUUCCAUCCGUCUCGCUCCAGCUCCUCAACCUGCGUACUCUCUUCCGCCUCAUUCAGCAGCAGGAGAACAGACAGCCGUCCGAUCCGACGCUCUUUGUGUAAUGUCAUAUAUGAAUCACUCAAUUCUGAAAUAUUCUGAUAACUAUUAACUGAGUAUUAUAUUAAGUGUUUAUUUCACAGAAG